rnacentral:rRNA from 1 species
GGGGAAUUUUCCGCAAUGGGCGAAAGCCUGACGGAGCAAUACCGCGCGAGGGAGGAAGGCUCUUGGGUUGUAAACCUCUUUUCUCAGGGAAGAACAAAAUGACGGUACCUGAGGAAUAAGCAUCGGCUAACUCCGUGCCAGCAGCCGCGGUAAUACGGAGGAUGCAAGCGUUAUCCGGAAUGAUUGGGCGUAAAGCGUUCGUAGGUGGUCCUUCAGGUCUGCUGUCAAAGCGCAGGGCUUAACUCUGUAAAGGCGGUGGAAACUGAAGAGCUAGAGUGCGGUAGGGGUAGAGGGAAUUCCCGGUGUAGCGGUGAAAUGCGUAGAGAUCGGGAAGAACACCAGCAGCGAAAGCGCUCUACUGGGCCUGCACUGACACUGAGGGACGAAAGCUAGGGGAGCGAAUGGGAUUAGAUACCCCAGUAGUCCUAGCCGUAAACGAUGGAUACUAGGUGUUGCCUGUAUCGACCCGGGCAGUGCCGUAGCUAACGCGUUAAGUAUCCCGCCUGGGGAGUACGCGCGCAAGCGUGAAACUCAAAGGAAUUGACGGGGGCCCGCACAAGCGGUGGAGUAUGUGGUUUAAUUCGAUGCAACGCGAAGAACCUUACCAGGGCUUGACAUGUCGCGAACCUCAGGGAAACUUGAGGGUGCCUUCGGGAGCGCGAACACAGGUGGUGCAUGGCUGUCGUCAGCUCGUGUCGUGAGAUGUUGGGUUAAGUCCCGCAACGAGCGCAACCCUCGUCCUAAGUUGCCAGCAUUAAGUUGGGCACUCUGAGGAGACUGCCGGUGACAAACCGGAGGAAGGUGGGGAUGACGUCAAGUCAGCAUGCCCCUUACGUCCUGGGCUACACACGUACUACAAUGCUACGGACAAAGGGCAGCCAGACAGCAAUGUCGAGCAAAUCCCAUAAACCGUGGCACAGUUCAGAUUGCAGGCUGCAACUCGCCUGCAUGAAGGUGGAAUCGCUAGUAAUCGCAGGUCAGCAUACUGCGGUGAAUCCGUUCCCGGGCCUUGUACACACCGCCCGUCACACCAUGGAAGCUGGCUUAGCCCGAAGUCGUUACCCUAACCCGCAAGGGAGGGGGACGCCGAAGGCAGGGCUGGUGACUGGGGUGAAGUCGUAACAAGGUAGCCGUACCGGAAGGUGUGGCUGGAUCACCUCCUU